GGCGAACGCUAGCGGCGUGCCUGCGACAUGCAAGUCGUGCGAGGGAAGGGGCUUCGGCUCCGACCCUAGCGGCGAACGGUCGAGUAACACGUAAGCAACCUGCCCCGAAGACCGGGAUAACAGCUCGAAAGGGCUGCUAAUACCGGAUGUGCCCACGGAGAGGCAUCUCUCCGUGAGUAAAACCCGCAAGGGGCUUCGGGAGGGGCUUGCGGCCCAUCAGCUAGUUGGUAGGGUAACGGCCUACCAAGGCGGCGACGGGUAGCUGGUCUGAGAGGAU
rnacentral:rRNA from 1 species